UUUUCUUCCCAAUAUGAGCCCUUCAAUAAUAGGUUCCAAGGAAUAAGAUAAUGUGAUGUUUUCAGUACUGCACUCACCAUAUUGGUAUUUUGGAUCUUUUGGUUUGUAAAAUAGUAACAGCCUCAAUCUUUUCUAGCCCACAUGUGAAAAAAAUGCUCAGUAGUUUCUUGUGCUUGCUGCUAUUUAAUGACAAGCUUGACUAAGACAACACCACACUGAGAACUAUUUCUUUGAGGAGGGUGGCAUGUUGCUGGCCAUCUCCCUGCACCAGUUUACUGUGGGACCAGACACGAACCACAAGUAGCACAAGGGAGAUUACAUGCAAGAGGACACUUCUUUUCAUGGCAGCUGGUUAUUUUAUCAGCCUUACUGCAAUUUGAAGCCACAGCCCUCAGACACAGUAGAACCAGUGUUGUCCCAAGUGCAGCAGUAGAGGUUUCCUGUGAGCAACAGAGAUGGUGGGACAGUCAUCUGCCUGUGUGGAAGAGGAGGGCAAAAGAAACGUAUGAGUAUUCUUGUCACAGUUGUAUAGACCAUGUUCAUUGAACAAAGUGGACUCGUAGCUCAGAAGACCAAGUAUUAAUUAUGUAAAUAAGGAAGAAGUGGUGCACUGUCAAUGUGUAAUUUUCGUGGCUGUUCUUUUUUCUAUAUCCUUUCUGUCUUCUCUGUCUUUUGUAUUUCUGUCAGGACAUUGUAAAUCUCCCAGAUUAUUAAUGUGUUCCGUAACUUCCCCCAUCAGAAGAAUUCAGCAUCUCAAUCCUCAAUUAUGGUCUCUUUUGCAUUCUUUCUUUUAAAGCAGAUAUUGAAUUACUGCUGCUCCUGGCAGGUCUUUAGCUUGUUUGGAGACUGUCUGUGCUGUUGUAUAUGCAUUAAUCAUUUCUAUCACUAGUAGAUUCUCCAGGACUAUGCUUCAGGUACUUCUUCAGAAGGGUUUAUCAAAACCAGCUUCCAGGUCAUAAACUUAUUUUUCAGUGUUUGUAUAACUAAUUGCACAGAGGAGAUUAUGCAACUAGCAUGUUGAAAACACCCAUGUGAAAUGGUGUUUAUGAAAAUUUUCUAAUCAAAAUGUGAGAACUGUUAUGAAGUUUGGCAGUGUUGCUUUAUACAUUUUGAAGCUGAAUGUUAAAAAGAUGUGAUAUCUGAUCUGGACAAAUUGGCAUGAGUUAUGAGUUUUUACAACACAGCAGUAUCACCUGAACUGAAAUAGAGGCUGCUGUUCAAAUGCAAAACCUAACCUGAAGUCUCUGCUCAUUUAAAAUAGAAUACUAUUGAAGUCAAAGAAUAUUAUUCAGCUGAAUAAAAUUCCUGGGUCAGGAUUUUAUUUACAUGUAUGAAUAUAUGUAAAAACAAGAAUUUGCAUUUCCAGGAUCAUUCAGUUGUUGUUCUCAGACAGUGGUGGUAUCUUACCUUUCAUUGUGCUAGCUAAUUUCUUUAGUGUGGAGCUCCCAGCAAGAAAGACCUAACUUGGCCAAGCAAUGUGCUUAUUUUGCAGAAGCCUGUGAAGAAGGUGGUUCCUGCAGGCAGCGAGCUGUGCACUCUCCCCAGGCUUCUGCUGUGACUAGCUCUGGAGGAGUUUCUCCACUUGCUGGAAAGCAAACACCAGGAGACUUUUAGUAGGAAAAAUAAAGGCAUCUCUGCUUGUGUGAACGCUCACCCAUGAGCACAACAGAGCAACACAUGUGAAGCACACAAUUUGUUUCUCUACUUUUCUCACAGUGAUUCAUACUGUCACCUUUUUCAGUGUAUUGAUCUGCUUUUCUGUAAACAGUGACCCCUUGUGAAGGGGUAAAUUCAGCUUGGAAGUAAUGUCUAGUAAUGUCUAGUUCAAGGCUCACUCAGCUGAGGAAAAGGAUAUUUUAAAAAGCAGGCUUUGAAUAAUGCUUUAUUCAUUACACUAAAUAGCUUAUUCAUUUACUAAUCUGACCACUUCUGACUACUGCUCGCUCAUUGUAUUCUCUCUGAGUCGUGAAGGAAGAAAAUAGAGACAAGUAGACUGUGUUGUCUGUGCCCAGCAAUUAUGUGCACAUCAGUGGUGGCAGGACCAGUGGAAGUUCAAAUCCUUCUCUGAUGUAUUCCAUUAAUUCAAGUAACUGCUUUGUAUGAAAAUGCACAUAGGGCAGCACUUAGCACACAUAGUUCAGAGCCAGGAAGGCUGAGGCAUUCAGCUGUAGAUGUACUCAGUUACUUGCUGCCAUCACCUUUCCUCCCACAAAAUCCAAACUACUCAUGGAUCCAGAUUGCUGCUUUUUUCUGGAACAAUGACAUGUCACCAAGAUCUUUUCAGUGGCAAGAAUAGCUUUUGUUUGCUGUUGAUUCUUUCAAGAAUCUCUUUUUACAACAAAAAACAAAUGCUUCAUUUUCCUUCAGAAGAGAAAAUUGUGUGGAGGAGGAGAACUUACGUAAGAAGCAGUGCUGCUCCAAAAAUGUCAAACACACAUUUGUUCUUCAGAACAAAAAUUGGAAUUUUCUGUUUUAUUCUCCUGGUAAACCACCAGAUACAGUAUUUUAAUUAGAAGUAAGUAACUUUAGAUGACCAAGAUAGAAACUGGACCAUGCAACAGGGGUUCUUCCAGGAGAGACGUCACUUUCAAAGUCCAUUAAGACCACCAUGAAAACCUCUGUGGCCAUUUCAGUGACUUGCUUUGUCACCAAAUCUGCUCACUUCUUAAACUAGCUAGCCAGUUCAAUCAUUGCUUCAUUUUGGAAUGGGAAAAUAUUUAACAACAAAACUGGGGAAUAAUACUUAAUUUUAAAAAGUCUAUAAACACCAGUACAUAUGAAAGUGUAUGACUACUGAUGAACAAAGCUUAUAUGUCCAAGAAAACAAGGAACAAAGAAAACAAAGAUUUAACAUACUGUUCCUGCUUUGCCAUGUAGAUCUUGUGCUGCAAAUUUGGAAUUAUGGAAUUGAGAUGAUUGUAGAGUUUGUAUGAUCUGCAGUUCAAGGUUCUUCUUCAAGGAAUAAUUCUAAGAAGAUAUUAAUAAAAUUGGAAGAAAUUACCAGGGUAAGCUGCAGAGAACAAAGAGAAGUUCUCCAUUAAGACCAGAAACUUGGCCCACAGGAUUUAGGAUGGAUAAACCUUACACAGAAGAGCUGUCAUUUUUGCAUUUCACCAAAAAGGUAUCAUAAGGAGAUCAAACUGUAUUUGCACCUGCAGUGCAGUCGGGACAGCAAAGUGAGCAGCUGAGGGCAGGCAUUCCCCCUUCAGAAGGCAGACAAUUGUGGAUGGUAAUCCCCUGAACUGUCACUGUAGGGUUUGAUAAAGCUUAUAAAGCUUCUCUGGCAGAGCCCUUCAUGCUCUACCACCUUAAAAGGUAACUAAGAAGUGUUAAUAGUGUUUAUAUAAGUCAAAGUCUCUGCUGGUGCCAUGAGCAUUUUGUUAUGCACAAGAAAUGCAUUAAUGUUUCUGUCUAGAACCACAAACAAAAUUCUGUACUGACCAGGAGGAAAGUUUUGUAAUCUGUUUGGAUAAUAUCCCCUUAAUUAGAAUCAGAAAACACAGGACUACCAGACUUUAUAAUCAAUCAGCUAGAGAUAAUGCAAAGAUUUCCCACUAUCCCUUGGACAAACCACUUACAAAAAUGGUCUUGUAUUUUUGAAUAGAAAUUGGACUUGAAAGAGAUGUGGCAUGAAGGUACUUAAUAGUCUUUAUGCACUAUAAAGAGUUUCAGUGGUGGGAAUAAUUUUGGUUCAUUGGUGCUUGCUGUUGUUUUCAACAGGGAGCCCAAGGGGGCUUUUUAUGAGGCCUGUGAAAAAUUACCUGUGAAAAUUCAGGGAGUUUUGAUUUACUUUGUAAAGCUCUGCUCUUCCACUGGGACAAAAAAAGAAAACCAGGAGCCUGUAAACCGGUACAGAAGUAUACAUUUGUUCUGUGACUGCAUACCAAUACCUCUGUGGUCAAGCAUGUGCGUUUGUCCAUUAUGGUUUUAUUCAUCUUUUGAGUUCUCAGGUAAAUUUCUCAGUGAUCUGAAUUCCUGGGAUGCCAACAAAAGAAAACUCAAAUUUAUUUAAGGCUUUAUAAAGGUAUAUAUAGGGUUUAAAUAGAUAUAUAAAUUAAGAAACAAAAUGGAAUGAUAAUGAUUUUAAAUAAAUACAAGCAAACAAACAAACAAACAAAAAAACAAUCCCCAAACUGAACAAGCUGUGUUUCAUUUUCUUGUCUAAUUAAAUUUUUUGAGAAGUUCCUUUUUGAAAAGCAUAUGUGACGCAGACUUCCUGGUCAUUUGGGAAUGAGUUAGAUAUGUGUCUGCAUAUUAUUCAAAUUCCAGCUGAUUAAGACACUGCAUAUACCAGAAGUUUCCUGUGAUAUUUGUAUGGUUUAUCGUCAACAGCAAAGGUAGCUUGGUACUUUCAGACAAAAUGAUUUUCAUCUGAAAACACAUCUGUUUGUCUAAGCCAAAACUUGGUAGGAAGUGGAUGAAAUAAGAUUUCAAAACACUGAAAACCUAAAUUUAAUAAAAACAAACUUUUAACACUUGAAAGAUUUUGUUUUCUCAAAAAUGGCUUUUAGUUACAAAAUAUACACUAAUUCUAGUACAAUCCAAAUGUUCUUAGAUAACCUAAAAGAAAUAUUGCCAUUGACUCUUUUGACAUUAUCAUUAUUUUCAGUUCCAAAACUUUGUCGAGGUUUUAAUUUCUAAUAUCUUUUUUUUUCACAGUUCAAGAAAGGGAUCUUUUCUUGAUGGGAAACAGUCUAAAUCCAGUCCUAAUUCAGUCCCUUAUGUCACACAGAACUUGGUAGAGCUCGGUAGAGGGGAAUAAAGGAGACCCACAUAAGAACCUCAGGAAAAAAAUAAUUGUUCUACUUUCCCUUUACAUCUGUUCCCUAGCCUUUAAUCAUUCAUUAUCAGCUGUAGUUCUGGUAUGAUUAUUAUCAGGUAUCCAUUCUAGAAAGUAAAACAUAAUGGUAAUGAAUAACAUUGAUCUACUGUUUAAGCAAAUUUUCACAAUUCUCUACUCAGUGACUAAAAGAAUACAAAACUUUUUCCAUUCCUUCAAGCAGGGUUAUUUAUUUUAUAUGUUUUAGAGAAAUGUUUACAAAUUAAUCCUUUUUUACAAAUGGAAAAAUUUUGCAUGUUUGUGUCUCUCUUCCAUGUGAUAAUGAAAAUAAACCUUUUGUUAUUUUGUAGUUGUUCUUAUUUCAAGAUAACACAGAAAGAAACCUAGCAUGUUGACUAUGGUUCAUUAGGGAACAACAGAAAAGUUCUCUCUCAUUCUAUGUCUUGAAAAAAUACUGGCUUACUUCAAGUUAUAAUGUAUGCUAAAUGACUACAGUUCUGCUUCAAUGGUUGAAAAUGCAAAAAUUAUUUGUAUGUUAUUGCAUUUUAUUUCAAAGCAAUCUUUUCUUAUUGAUUAUAAGUUUACUUUUUAGUUUAGUUAGAUGACCUAGAAAUUCUAGUGACUGAAAGUGGACAGUUGGAAGUGAGAUAUGAAGUCUCAAGCUUCCACUGGGAAAAUAUGUAGAAAAAAGAAUGAUUAGGGAUGUUUUGUUGAGGAUAUGGGAAAAAGAGAACAGAAGAUUUCUGUCCUUCUUGGAAAAGAGCACUGUGAGAAUUUCUGACAGCUGAAAUUGAAUGAGACAGAAAAAGUUUGAAAUUAAGAGUAUUACUGAAUUUGGUCAAGGAAUUCAUUCGUGGAUAAACAUGGAUCUCUUAAAAGGUCCUAAAACUUCAAUGGACAUGAGAUCUGGUUACAUUGAAGCAAAUGAUGAACCUCCUGAAAGCAUCAUGUCACUGAGUUGUUUGUCAGAUAGAAGAACAUCUGAAGGCCCUUGAAAAGGAAAGUCACCAGACAGCAGCUCAGUCAUAACUUCAUUGUUACCUGAGAGAAUUUUGAGGUGACACUCAAGUUAGGAAAUAUUGGGUUUAACUGUAAAUAACUCUUCCAGCAUUUCAUUAAAGAAGGAGUUGACAAUUGAACUUUACAGUGUUCACUUGGAGGUGCAAGCAGUGGGACAACUCCUCCUUGCCUGACUCAGAUUCAGAGAGGCUUUGGGUUGCCCCAGGCCCAAGAAAGCCAAAGGCCAUAUACUGCUAUCCGUGAGCUCAUUGAAAAAGGUGAUUUCCUCAAGGCAGAAUUUACAGUUCUGCUGUGUUGGCCAACAUGGUACACAUGUUGGAUAGAUCAUUGGCUGCUGUGACUUGUCAUAGUUCUGUGGAAUUUGGUGAAGUCUGAGCAAUCCAUACAAUGUGAGCAUUUCACCUUUAUAAGAAGUAUCAAAGAACAUUUUACAUUCAGUUCUUUUUCAUGACAGGGCUGACUUGACCGAGAUGUUUAUGUAAGGUGUGUGUAACUACAGAACUAAUUCAAGUAGGUUUGCUUUUUUGUUUGUUUAAUAAGCUAGAAGUUCUAUGAUUUUUACG